CCCAACUCCUCUCUCUCCUCCUCCUUCGCCGUCACCGCUCUUCAUCAUCCGGCAGACUCCGUCGAAAUGGGCAGGCGGCGCUGGAGUUCACCGGAACGGGUAGGCUGGCGGCGGGCGGCGGGCGGCGCGAGGAAGAUGGCGGAUCCGGGCGCGACGUCGAGGGUUCAGGCGGCUGGUGCGGCAGCUUGCUCCGAUGGCGGCGGUGUCCUGCUCACCCAGAGAAAGAGAGAGACAUGGCGUGAGGGGGAGAGGAAAGAGAGGAAGAAAUGAGAAGGAGAAGGGGCGCAGGGCGAGGGAGGCACUCGCCGGCGGUGGUGCCGCUCUGCCGCUGCAUCUCUCUUCCCCCACGUCCCUACUGCUGCUCCUCUAACUCCAUCUCUCUGCUGUCGAUUCUCUGUCCGGUGCUACCUCUCCUCUCUGCUCCUUGCUGCCUGUGGCUGUCCCGUCUCUCCUAGCGCUGCUGCUGCUGCACCUCUUCUGAAGCUCUUCUCAAAUCCGUUGAUGCAGUUCUUCUCUGAACUCCAACCUGCUGCUGCUUCUCUCUCUCUCUCAAUUUUGUUGUAAUUCUG
rnacentral:lncRNA from 1 species